rnacentral:rRNA from 1 species
GACGAACGCUGGCGGCGUGCUUAACACAUGCAAGUCGAACGGAAAGGCCCUGCUUUUGUGGGGUGCUCGAGUGGCGAACGGGUGAGUAACACGUGAGUAACCUGCCCUUGACUUUGGGAUAACUUCAGGAAACUGGGGCUAAUACCGGAUAGGAGCUCCUGCUGCAUGGUGGGGGUUGGAAAGUUUCGGCGGUUGGGGAUGGACUCGCGGCUUAUCAGCUUGUUGGUGGGGUAGUGGCUUACCAAGGCUUUGACGGGUAGCCGGCCUGAGAGGGGGACCGGCCACAUGGGGACUGAGAUACGGCCCAGUCGCCUACGGGAGGCAGCAGUGGGGAGUAUUGCGCAAUGGGCGGAAGCCUGAUGCAGCAACGCCGCGUGCGGGAUGACGUCCUUCGAGUUGUAAACCGCUUUCGCCUGUGACGAAGCGUGAGUGACGGUAAUGGGUAAAGAAGCACCGGCUAACUACGUG